rnacentral:lncRNA from 1 species
UCGAAACUCCACCCGCCGGUCAGUCCAGUCCAUUCAAAGGCGAAAAAUCACCGUCAGCGACCUCUUUUCAGCCUUAGCCGCUGCCGGUGAUUCAGCCAACUGCUCCGCGCCUUUUAUCCGUUGGUUUACGCGCAAUUUGAUGUUAUCCAUCUAAUUAAUACACAUCCGUGCUGUGCGUCUCUGCUUUUCCGCCGUCAGACCAACCAGAAACUGCUAAGUCCAAGAAAAGUGAGAGCAGCGAUAAGACAGUAUCCCGGGGUAAUGAAUCUGUUCCGUGUUUGUUUGUUGAAUAACAUUUGCUAGAACUUGUGUUGAAUACUGGAAUUUGCUGUGUUUUUGGGUGUAGUUAUCUUAUUCGGUAAGGCGUUAGGCAAUGUUAUCAGACAGUUAUGUUUCCGUUCGUGAUGUUCUCUUGGAUAUGUGUAUAUAUAUAUAUCUAUUAUGAGUUUCCUUGGACAUAUGACAUGGUCAAGGUGUUGCUUGUGAUUGUUAAAUUGUAAUUAUCUCAUAUGAUAUGGUUAAGUUUUCAUUUGGUAAGGCGUUAUGCAAUUUUAUCAGACAGAGUUAUGUUUUCGUUCGUGAUGUUCUCUUGGAUAUAUAUAUGUAAUGAGUUUCAUCGGACAUGUGAUUUGGUAAAGGUGUUGCUUGUGAUUGUUAAAUUGUAAUUAUAUCAUAUGAUAUUAUGGUUUAAUUUUCAUUUGGUAAGGCGUUAGGCAACAUUAUCAGACAGAGUUAUGUUUUCGUUCGUGAUGUUCUCUUGGAUAUAUAUAUGUAUAUAUGUAUGUAUGUAUGUAUGUAUGAGUUUCCAUUGGAUAUAUGGCAUGGUUAGGGUGUUGCUUGUGAUUGUUAAAUUGAUAUUAGCCCUACUUUUUUUUUCUUUUCAUUUUUGCCAUUGCACCUGAAUGUUUGCUGUGUGUGUCAGUCUUGCAUCUUUAUCAAUGAGGAUAAGAAGGAUGAACAACGAACCCGGCUACUGAAGGUUUUCAUCCUAAAUAAGCGAGUCUAUCCAGAAUGAUUGAUCACCUAAACGUAUAUCUGAGUUUGUUUUAUUUUGUUAAUUUCAUCCACGACAUAGCUUGAGAUUCAUAGUAGAUCCUGUCUCCUUGUUAUAGUUGGGGGAAAUAUCAUAGGUUUUUUAAUUCUGCAAUAGUUUAUGAUAAACUAGCUUGAGAGUCUGUUGAUUAUGCAAAAGUGUAACUGAAAAUCAAACGAUAUGCAAAUCUAGGGUAUCAGAUUCAUAGAACGGAAGGGGUAUGCCUUAUCGAAACGUAUUAUAGGAUUGAGAACCCAUUGUCACUCAUGCUGAUAAAAAGCAUGUUAUUAGCUUGGAAAAUAGUACAUGUAACAUAUGGGAUAUUAUGACUGCGCUAAUGAUGUAGGAAAAUCAACUUUCUCGUCAUGUCUAUAGCUGGCGUUGGAGGAUUAGGUAAGACCAUGCUGCAAGCAAGGAAGUGAUUUAAUACAAAGUAAACACUGGUUAAUGAAAAAACAAAAACUAGCAGAACCAGUGUAUUGCUCUUUGAUUUUGUACAUAUAUAGACGACAUUAGAUUCUUAAGUAAAACUACUUAUAAAUGAAAGGAAAAUGAUCCCUAGCUUAUAUGUCCUAGUAAGUGAAAGAAUUAUGAUUUCUGUAAGACCUCCCUAGUACAAGAAAAAUGUGUAAUCACAUUAAAAUUUCUCUCUCCAUCUACAGGAUAGCCUAUGCUCUCUUCUUCUCUGUUUCUUUUUCUGUGAAAGUAAUCAACCUGUACAAAGUCGUUUCUUGCAUGCUUGCACACUUAUCUUCCAUUAGUUAUUUAUCUUAAAAAAGUGUUUAUUAUCUAGACUGAACAGGGACUGGCUGCUCUUUGCCGAUCCCAAUAGCUCUUCCAGAUUCCAAAACAUUUGUUGUCAUGGAAUGCGGAAAUAUCUGAAUUCUGAAGUUCUUGGUCAUGAAGAGCUUGUGUUGUCCAAAGCAGCACCAAAGCCACCAUGACAAUUGAGAGGUACAGCAUUGCUGCCCAUGUCAUGUUGAGGUAUCUUCUCAGUGGUUUGCAAUGAUUUGUUAGUAUAUCAGAAAAUGCGUUCUGCACUAAUUGACACUUUACAAGAUUUUCCAUAUUUGGAAAAAUGUUUAGUAGGUUUUGAACUGAAGUUGUGUAAGCCUCCACUAUUUUAUAAUCGCUGGCUGAUAUGAACUCUCCAUCUUUACAUGUUCCUUUGUCGGCACCAGAACAUGCAAAUAUCUUCAAUAUCUGUAUAAACAAAUUGGAUGAAUGAACCAACAACUGCAUAGAUUCGGAGAUUUUGAUUAAAAGAAACUUGGAUGCAAUAUUAUAACUGCUAUGAGCAAAAUUUCUGGCAUUUCAACAUUUCUUUUGGCCGAC